ensembl:lncRNA
CCCAGGGAUCGAAUCCAGAUCUCCCACAUUGCAGGUGGAUUCUUUACUGUUCGAGCCACCAGGGAAACUAUACUCUCCUGUUACUAAACCUCUUCAUUAAAAUUAGGCUUAUAAUGAAUAACAAUCAAAAAGCGAGAUGUUUUUUUACAUUGUGGAAAAGAAAAAGGGAAAACAAAGAACACAAGUAAAAAGAGGCAUGGAGAGGAAAAAGAGCUCUUGGACUGCAAAAUUCCAUAAACAUUUGGAAGGACGGGCUUUAUGAUUCUAAUUAAAAAUUGCUGUGUUUGUACAGGAAUUGACUCCUUUCAUUUACGCAAUUCCAUGUUUCUGACAUUCUGCCUAAUACAUUAAACCUGGAAACAAUGAGCUGACGAUAUUAUCAAGAAUCAAUCUGUACCACAGUCUUUCCUAGUGUACCCUAAGAAAGUGAAGUGAAGUCAUCAGUCGUGUCCGACUCUGCGACCCCGUGGACUGUAGCCUACCAGGCUCCUCAGUCCACGGAAUUUUCCAGAGUGUUGUCUGUGAACAGCUUACAUCAGAUCAGGAUCCUGGUGCGGGCAGGUGCACACUUAGGGAUCAGAAUCUGACUUUUCACCUAACUCAGUGGUAGAACCCACCUCCUUGGCACAUCCACUGAACAGGAGGUAAGCAGUGAUGGGAGCACAGUACCAACCACAGGUGCAAAAGGCUUUGACCUUGAGGACCAAGCCCCCUGUGACUGCUUCCAAGAAACUUGCCCAGACAACUCCUGCAAGUGUGGCUGACAGCCUUCUCUGCCAUUCACAGAACCCACUAACACCAUGAUGCUUGCCUGUCCUUACUGUUGGGCCUUGUGACAACCACUUGGAGCUGUUACUGAACCAAACUUGGGUCUGCUCGCCUGCAUGCAAUAAAGC